rnacentral:lncRNA from 1 species
GAAGAAGAAGAAGAAAAAAAAAUCAUUAAAAAUAUUCACAACUUUUUAAAACAGACACAAAAUGUAUAACUUCUCAUUUGAGUAUCUUUAUCUAUUCAUAACUUAUAAAUCUUGAGAAAAUAACAAUUUCAGAUGCACAAUAUAAACUAAAGUUCUACAGAUCAUCUAUCUAUUUAACAUGUAGUUUUCCCCACGCAGAAGAUAAUCAGAAUCCAUGUUCCUCACCAAAAUAAUAAAAUUAAAUCCUACAGUAUGAAAACCACAGUAAUCAAAUGAAAACCACAAUUAUGUUAACGUUUUGAACUAUGCAUGUGCUCACUACACGUUGCUGGUGCGGAAACAGAUGUCUUUUUGAAUGCCGAAUAAGAACUUAGAAGCUACAGACGAGUAGACUAAAGGAACAAGGAAUUCAUCCUCUACGUCGCUGUUCGUUAUUCGCAUCGAAGCAUGUCAACGAGUCGCAGUGAUGAGAGUGGAGGAAACCGGAAUCCUCUAGAUGCUAGAAUUUUUGUUUGUGCCGGUUCCUUCAGUUGAAUUGCGGUUACCGAUCACGGUUGCCGUAGUUGCUGCAAUGAUCGAGGUACGUGUCACUGUCUUAGCUGCACAGUGUGAUGCGUCGGAGACAGGAAAGGUAUCUGCGAAAUUCCUUUUCUCGUCCAUAUGCUAGCCGCUAUUGGAGUCUUGUUUAGACGCGACCAGGCAUGCAACUGUAACCUGUCGCCAUUCGCACUGGUAGAAGGCGAGGGCGAGAAAAGCAUCUUGAUGAAACCAUCGCUAAUACUGUCACAGGUAGCACAGAUCUUGCAAACCCUAACUCGAUGGACAAGUUAACAGCAAUUCAACAAUUGCAAUCAUGCAAGUGCGAGGGUUUCCUCACGCGGGUGUCGUUACGGCACUUUAGAACUCAAUCACAAGAAUAGGCUGGCUACGUGUGACGCAAGCAUGAGAGGAACAAAGUUGGAUCAAUGUGUGGUGAGCAGUGCUCCCCACGUCCAUGACGCAGCCACCGGCAAAAAAAUAUUUACCACAGUUUCCAUUACCUGGCGGUACGACUCAGGGCUCCCACACUCUGUAUCGAACGUCGAAAGCAGAUUUUGAGAUCGGCUCAAAGAUUUGGCAGCAAUCGAUCACGCCGAUGACGCUGACCACUUCACCAUCAGACGUGCAACUGCAACCUCUCUCACGCUCUCUAUUUCUCAUCACUGAUCGACGUGCCCACGGACUGUCAAAUCCCCGAACUCCGCCAGAGGUCGAUGCUCAAGCCGUAUCGACCAUCGACGGAAACUGACAAUCGCGGUGUAAGUGAUCUGAACUCCGACAUCGCUGCACAGUCAAGAGUGUUGUGUCGGAAUUAGGGUUAGGGUUUCCUACCAGGGUCCUCUCCGGUCCCAUGGCCGAAACCCUCACACGAUUAGGGUAUCAUAUUUGGGCAUGUCCUCAGAAAUCUGGUUACCCUAAAUCAAUGUGUCACUUCACACUUCAAACAACAUUCUUUUGGCAACUUUGUUAUUUUG